GACGAACGCUGGCGGCGUGCCUAAUACAUGCCAGUUGAGCGAUGAAGCUUGGUGCUUGCACCAAUUUGAAGAGCAGCGAACGGGUGAGUAACGCGUGGGGAAUCUGCCUUUGAGCGGGGGACAACAUUUGGAAACGAAUGCUAAUACCGCAUAAUAACUUUAAACAUAAGUUUUAAGUUUGAAAGAUGCAAUUGCAUCACUCAAAGAUGAUCCCGCGUUGUAUUAGCUAGUUGGUGAGGUAAAGGCUCACCAAGGCGAUGAUACAUAGCCGACCUGAGAGGGUGAUCGGCCACAUUGGGACUGAGACACGGCCCAAACUCCUACGGGAGGCAGCAGUGGGGAAUCUUCGGCAAUGGACGAAAGUCUGACCGAGCAACGCCGCGUGAGUGAAGAAGGGUUUCGGAUCGUAAAACUCUGUUGGUAGAGAAGAACGUUGGUGAGAGUGGAAAGCUCAUCAAGUGACGGUAACUACCCAGAAAGGGACGGCUAACUACGUG
rnacentral:rRNA from 1 species